rnacentral:rRNA from 1 species
CCUACGGGAGGCAGCAGUAGGGAAUAUUGCUCAAUGGGGGAAACCCUGAAGCAGCAACGCCGCGUGGAGGAUGAAGGUUUUCGGAUUGUAAACUCCUUUUGUUAGAGAAGAUAAUGACGGUAUCUAACGAAUAAGCACCGGCUAACUCCGUGCCAGCAGCCGCGGUAAUACGGAGGGUGCAAGCGUUACUCGGAAUCACUGGGCGUAAAGAGCGCGUAGGCGGGAUAGCAAGUCAGAUGUGAAAUCCUAUGGCUUAACCAUGGAACUGCAUUUGAAACUGGUAUUCUAGAGUAUGGGAGAGGUAGGUGGAAUUCUUGGUGUAGGGGUAAAAUCCGUAGAGAUCAAGAGGAAUACUCAUUGCGAAGGCGACCUGCUGGAACAUAACUGACGCUGAUGCGCGAAAGCGUGGGGAGCAAACAGGAUUAGAUACCCGAGUAGUC